AGAACCGUGAAGGUCCCGGCGACCGAAGAAAGGCGAAACCGCUCCGCGUGGGCUGUCCGGAGUGGCAUCGCGCCUUGUUCGAGUCCGAAGAGGUUCCCGCUUCUCUAAGCCGGCUGAAGGGAUGCGAGUCUCCUUCUCUUGUCCCACCGGGAGUGCGUCCUGACACCGAGUGGACUCCGCCCCAAGAGUGGGAGCAUCCUGAACGUUCAGAGGGCAUCCUGGGCCGUGGAAGGCAUUCGGCCACACCCCGCUCUUCGCCGGUCCCUCACCCGCCAACGCCAGCCCAGGUGGUCAGGCUCAGAAUGGACUGUGAGCCUGUGUGUUAUGGAUCUCUGGUUGUAGAGACAGAAGGACAAACAUGGAAGCCACCAAGGAUGCUGCCAGCUGAAUGAGUUGUUGCUCUAUGGCUUGCACAAAGUCAAGUGAAUGAUCUUCCCACGUUAUGUAAUAUAUCAACGGACUGCUUACCUUAACCCCUUUAAUCUUGAUUAUUCUGGAAAGUAGAACUUGAAACAAAAAGUAGAUACAUUCUACAGGGAAUAUGACCCUCAGAGAAGGAAAGAAAGACAGAGGGGUUAAACCUGAACACGUGAAAGAGAAUCCAAGGGAAUCUGCUUGGUACUGCCACGUCAGAGAAGCCUCAGGUAAGGAGACUGGAUGCUUGGCAUCGUGGAUGCUUGAAGCACUGCUAACAAAGAACAGAGUCCAGUCUUCCAGAGUCAUGACCUGAAUCCAAAGUUGAAAAGAUCUGAGCAGUGUAUAAACAGCCUGUCAUAACCUGCAUAAUACAUUUUUAGUCCUGAAUAAAUCUAUUCACACUUCUUUCU
rnacentral:lncRNA from 1 species